UACGUAGGGACCAAGCGUUGUUCGGAUUUACUGGGCGUAAAGGGCGCGUAGGCGGCGUGACAAGUCACUUGUGAAAUCUCCGGGCUUAACCCGGAACGGCCAAGUGAUACUGUCGUGCUAGAGUGCAGAAGGGGCAAUCGGAAUUCUUGGUGUAGCGGUGAAAUGCGUAGAUAUCAGGAGGAACACCGGUGGCGAAGGCGCCCACCUGGCCUGCUACUGACGCUGAAACUCGAAAGCUAGGGGAGCAAACGGG
rnacentral:rRNA from 1 species